UUUUAGAUCUAAUGUAUGUUAGAUCUAAUUUUAUUAUCUAAUAUUUAAAAUUUAAAAUUAAAUCUAAAAGUAUGAGAAGUAUAGACAUACCUCAAGGGUAAUCUGAUUACCCUGUAGAUGAUCUCUGCACAGCCCGAGGUUUUGAUGUAGCCACACAAGCGUCUGGCCUCUACUAAUAUCUACUUGGGUAGAACCUAGAGCAUCUUCUCCUCUCAAAUCUAUGCUCCAAAAAUCAGAUCUCUAUCUGAUCUGAAAGUACUUCAGAACUCCUUCUGAAGUUGGAGCAGCAGCCUAUCAAAGAUGUCCUGCAGCCUUUUGUUCCAGGCAUCACCACGCCUUGGACCUUUGCCAG
rnacentral:lncRNA from 1 species